CGCAAGGCAUGAAGCAAAGAUGGAAUUACGAACCGUGUCAGGUCCGGAAGGAAGCAGCACUAAGUUUUCUCUGUCUUGUGCUUCUUUUUUUAUGCUUAU
rfam:Lactobacillus sanfranciscensis TMW 1.1304, complete genome.